rnacentral:rRNA from 1 species
UACGUAGGGCGCAAGCGUUGUCCGGAAUUAUUGGGCGUAAAGAGCUCGUAGGCGGCCAGUUGCGUCCGCUGUGAAAUCCCGGGGCUUAACCCCGGGCGUGCAGUGGAUACGGGCUGGCUAGAGGCAGGCAGGGGAGAACGGAAUUCCCGGUGUAGCGGUGAAAUGACGCAGAUAUCGGGAGGAACACCGGUGGCGAAGGCGGUUCUCUGGGCCUGUACUGACGCUGAGACGCGAAAGCGUGGGGACGAACAGG